ensembl:lncRNA novel transcript, antisense to SEPP1
AGAGCAGCGCAUAGCAGGCCCCUGCAGAGGAUUAACACGGUGGCUGAACACCGGAAAGAACUGGCACUUGGAGUCGCGACAUCUGAAACUUGUUUAUUCUAGUAGGCCCAACCUCUGAGACCACCCUUAAACAUCAGUAGACUGGGAGCUGUACGUGGAUGGGAGCAGCUUCGCCAACCGCUGCAAAGUGACUCUGAAGAAGACCACAAGCCCUGCUCCAGUCACACACGGAAGCUGACUGGUUCACGCAUGGCCGAAGCAUGAGGAAACUCAUCGUGGGACUCAUUUUCCUUAAAAUUUGGACUUGUACAGUAAGGACUUCAACUGACCUUCCUCAGACUGAGAACUGUUCCCAGUAUAUACAUCAAGUCACUGAGCUAUAUGGAGGAAGCAGCAGAGAAGGGCAAAUUUUAAAAAGUGGAAGAAAACUGGUAUGCAUAUUUUCAACCAAGUGAAAACGUCAAGGAGGUUAAAGUAAUCAACUGGGUCAAAUGCUGCUGAGAGGUCAAAUAAGGAAUCAUGUCUUAUCAAGAGGGUAUUGUGACCUGUGUCUUGGGGACCUAGCCUCCUGUUUGUCUUGCAAAACUAGUCCUGCCAAACUCCUAUCUCACUGUGAGCCAGGAGCAACAAAAGUCCUCAAGAAUAACUGUAGAAUGUGCUGGGAGUGCAACAUCCUAAAAUAAGGAGGAAGUGGCUGAAACAGCCUGGGCUGUAUUCCUGUCUCCAUCUAGCACAAGAUGUCCUUCAACCCUUUAGCCCAGCGUGCAAGUACUACCAGAACGUUUGGGGUCAGAAAUCGGAUAUCUACACUUCCCCGUCUCCCAAAAGAGCUUCCCUCCUUAGGCGUCCGGAGGUCUCUUGGAUUUUUCACUGCUAAUCCCAUCUGUCUUCACUAGACUCACUUCCCACAACUUGCUCCAGGAGGGGCCUAUGUGGACACUGAAGGCGACUGGGGCGGUUCCUCUUCUGAUGUAGUUAGCUCUCAGUUAGCUCACCGCCCAGUUCUCCUUGAUCUCUCCGGGCUGGACCGCCUCGUAAGCAGGAGGAGCAUAGAAGGAGGCGGGCUCCACAAGCUUGAUCUUCUGAAUCCCCUUGUCUCUGUAAACUUCCCCUGGAAGAAGCGAUGCACUGGCGAAGCCAUGUGAGGGGGGCUUUUGGUUCCAGAGAGACAGCCCGAGAGCCCCAGUGGGAACCAUCCGGAGACCCAGAAGAUCGAAUUCGCGGGACGGCGCGUUACCUUCCAACACCGCUGGGCCACCACUCUGAGAACCAGAAUCAGCGGUACUGGGGCUUCCCCACGGGACAGGAGCGCGUUCUUUGGAUUCCCCUGGUGCGGCGUGCACAACCUUCGGACGAAGAGUCCACGCCUGCCACCCAGGAGGAGGCCCAGGCGCAGGCAGGAGUGGCGGCCGCAGCCUCGUCGGAGGAGCCCGGUCACUGCGCUCCGCGGCCGCCACACGCGCCGCGAUCGGCCCUCUUCGAAGACUGGUCGCGGGAACCAGAGAGGUCUGACGAUGGGGACCUCUCGGAGUGUCGUCGCCCUGCUACUGAGCCUUGGCGGCCACCGGGCUCAGCCUGGAGGCUUCCUUGUGCAGCAUAGGCCGCCUGUCCGCCAAGAAG